rfam:Dipodomys ordii contig_76583, whole genome shotgun sequence.
GGUGGCUCAGUGGUAGAGCGCGUGCCUUGCAUGCAAGAGGCCCUCGGUUCAAUUCCCCAGCACCA